rnacentral:rRNA from 1 species
UAACACCAUAGGACUGGCCGUCCCAUAUGAAAAGAUUAUAUUAGAAUUGAAUGAAGCUUUGUUUAUAUAUUGAUAAUGACAGUAUAUAUAUCGUGUCUUGACUAAUUGCGUGCCAGCAGUCGCGGUAAUACGUAAGAGACUAGUGUUAUUCAUCUUAAUUAGGUUUAAAGGGUACCCAGACGGUCAAUAUAGCUUAUAAAAUGUUAGUACUUGACUAGAGUUUUAUGUAAGAGGGCAGUACUUGAGGAGGAGAGAUGAAAUUUCGUGAUACCAAAGGGACUCUGUAAAGGCGAAGGCAGCCCUCUAUGUAAAAACUGACGUUGAAGGACGAAGGCACAGAGAACAAACAGGAUUAGAUACCCAAGUAGUCUUUGCAGUAAAUGAUGAAUGCCAUAGGUUAGAUGGGUCAAUUAUAGUCUAGGGUUAGUCUAGCAAACUAAUACCCUAUGCUAUAAUUCCUAAUAUCUGGUCUAUAAAUGAAAGUGUAAGCAUUUCACCUCAAGAGUAAUGUGGCAACGCAGGAACUGAAAUCACUAGACCGUUUCUGACACCAGUAGUGAAGUAUGUUAUUUAAUUCGAUUAAUCCG